rnacentral:lncRNA from 1 species
UUUGUGUAUGCUCACUCCGGUUCUGCUACCGUAUCUAUGUAUCAUGCAUUCAUGCUAGAUGAACAUGGGUUGCAGCAACUUAUUUGUCCUGUGUCAACAUAUAAUUGAGUCACUUAAAUUUAUUUCACUAGCAAACGAUAAAUACUACUAAUGGGUUCUCAAGGCUCAUUAGUCACCUUCCUCUGGUCAAAACAGAAGCAACUAAUGACGUCUCAACUCUAAAGGCUCUCAAGAAGCUAUAAGAAACCGUGGUCACCUUUCACUGCUAGAGGCAAUUCUUUCUUGCAUUCAGUGACUUGAAUGACAACGAAGAACACCCCGGGGGUGGUAAUAGAACCCAGGCAUCUUACCGGAGUGAGUCAUUGUUCUGGGUUCCCACAAAUAGCGAUUCACAUGCCUGCAGGAGAAUUACCAGCUUCGGAAGGGUCUUCAACAACCAUGAUUUUAUUUUAGCCUUAUUUCUUCAGGGAUCUCUGAAUUUUUGCCAAGAUUUUUCUUCACUAUCAAGCACAAAACACAAGUCAAGUCAUCAAUUGUUUAUUACAUGAAAAAUCAUAGGAAUGUGGAGAAGAUAUAAGAAGACAAGUCACAUGCAACAAACCACUCAUAAAUCUGGUAAAGCAACCUGUGCCAUUAGUUAAAAAUGUAGUCUACACCUUAGCUAGAAAUACAUGCAACAAUCAAGGGAGAAUCAAUAUCAUCAACAACCAUUUUGUCGAUUCUAAGCAUUAUCAUGAAUUCAUCCUAUCUAUUAAGUCUCAUACAACUCAAACAGCAAGGAUUCAGACAUAGGUCACAGUUGAGCCAAAGGUAUGAACUGGAUCAUGCAACUUUGCUAGAUUAUUAAAAAAAUGCAACUUUGCUAAAAAAAACACACUUCAUACGAGCAGACCCAGGUUAACAAAAAAUUCUUCAAAUGGCAUCUAUACAGGAUUUCAUUGUAGAAAAUAAUGCGAAUUCGCUAAAAAUCAAUAGCAGAUUGCUCAAAGAUAAACCGCACUUCAUGCGAGCAGACCAAGGUUAACAAAAAAUUCUUCAAAUAGCAUAUAUACAUGAUUACAGGGUAACCAGCAAAGCAUGCAGACAGAGUUCUUGACUAGAGUAAAUAUUCGCAGUUUAUCAUCAUCAAGAACUAAACAAAAGUCCUUCCUCUAUCAGGAUUUCUCCAAACAUGAAAAAAAGCUAAGAUGGUAACAUAGCAGCAACUCACACAGGAAACAUUUAGCCCUGUAUUUCCCGGCCCAAAUGUAGACAACAAAACGGAGUGUUCAAAGACAGAAACAGAGCAGUUGGAAAUGAUUUGAUUUGCAGCAGUAGGGUACCUAACCAAACCACUCAACAUUGCAUCUUACACGUAGUCACGAACAAUCAAGUUACCAUUUCCAAAAACAGCACUGGUAUUGCAUAGCACACCUUAGUGAUACACUAACAAAAUAGAAGAGUUCAAUGAUCAAACUACCUCCAGAACAUUUCUUCUUCAACAAAGAAAGGCAUCCAUAUCUUGACGAAGCAGGCUGAGAUUGCAAUAGACCAGGGCAGUGUGUAUUAGAUGUCUUCACCAAAGAUUGAAGCUUUGCACGGCCACGCUUCUGCUUCCUACAAGUUUUUGGUGAACCAUUACUCACACGAUCACUGUUACUUCCA